rnacentral:rRNA from 1 species
GAUGAACGCUGGCGGCGUGCCUAAUACAUGCAAGUCGAGCGAACGGACGAGAAGCUUGCUUCUCUGAUGUUAGCGGCGGACGGGUGAGUAACACGUGGAUAACCUCCCUAUAAGACUGGGAUAACUUCGGGAAACCGGAGCUAAUACCGGAUAAUAUUUUGAACCGCAUGGUUCAAAAGUGAAAGACGGUCUUGCUGUCACUUAUAGAUGGAUCCGCGCUGCAUUAGCUAGUUGGUAAGGUAACGGCUUACCACGGCAACGAUGCAUAGCCUACCUGAGAGGGUGAUAGGCCACACUGGAACUGAGACACGGUCCAGACUCCUACGGGAGGCAGCAGUAGGGAAUCUUCCGCAAUGGGCGAAAGCCUGACGGAGCAACGCCGCGUGAGUGAUGAAGGUCUUCGGAUCGUAAAACUCUGUUAUGAGGGAAGAACAUAUGUGUAAGUAACUGUGCACAUCUUGACGGUACCUAAUCAGAAAGCCACGGCUAACUACGUG